GCUGCCUUUAGGCUGAGGUUUACAACGUUGGCUCCCUAGUUCUCAGACCUUCAGAUUCAGACUAAAUUAUACCACCAAAUUCCAGAGUCUUUGCUUGCAGACAGCAGACCGUGAGACUUCCCAAUCUUCAUAAUCACGUGAGCUAAUUGCUGAAAACAAAUAUCUAUCACAUUAGGCAUGGUCUGAGAGAGUGGAAAAGAGUAAAAGUAAAAUGCCUUAUCAUCCGUGCACUAUGUUUCUGGCUGAGACUUUAGCCAAGGGGUCAUUCGGUGAACAUCACCUUGCUGGCGAUGCACAGAGCUAUCUCAACAUGUCAUUGUGUAAAUUCUGUCUGCAUAAAGAUGUUUAAAAACAUGAUGCUAAAGACAAAUUUUUUCAACUAGAACCCUCAAGAAAUGUCACUUCUGUGUCUUGCAAAGAGAGCCAGCAUUUCCUCUACGUAAACAUCUGCCGGGAACAUUUUAAAGGGAAGUAUUUUAAAUAAUGACAUUUGUAGCUUCUUGUCUUUAUUAAGUUUGAAAAAGAAGAGAAAAGAAUUUGUGAUACAUUCCCUCCCAAAGCAACUUUUCUUCAUUGACAUGGAUCAAAUUGGCUGAUCAGAAAGUGAAAACAUUAUGUUAGCUGGAAAUGUUUAAAAUUGUAUCAAUCAUACCUGAGAAGCACUCAUAAAUCAUGGGUUUCUUUAACUCCAAAGACUCCAACAGUUCAUUGUAAUGCUCACUUGCUUGUGGCAAUUAUACUAUGUUUAUAUGUACAUAAUUGGAUUUUCUAUUAAAUCAAGCAAAAAAACCAACAAAAGCGAGAGUCAGGGAACCAUAAGUUAGUUAUGCGAUCUGAACAAAGCAGAUUUUUUGUGAUUAGAAUGGAAACUUCAUUUUGUCUAAACCAGUGUAGAUGCUUGGGGAUAAUUCUCUGUAGAAAAUGCAAGAUAUAUAGCUGGGCUUUUUAAGGUUCUAAGAAAGAGACAUAUGCAGAUUGCCUUUGGUAAUAGGUAUUUAUGGCAAGGAUACCCUAGGAUGUAAUUUCAGAAGUAAUGCUGUCUUGUACUCUGGAUUUCACUACUUAAAAGCACUGAGGGUACUGUAGGUAUUUUGAAGUAUUACAAUGACUCCGUAUAAAGGUAGUUUAGUAGCUUUCAGAUUAGGAACUAAGUUCAAAUGAUUUAUCUUUUUCCACUUUACCAACCUCAUUACUUCUUCAAAUAAAUAAUCUGAUUGAUGGCUUUAUGACUAUCCCAGGAGUACCCUUACCAUCAAGAAUUCAGACCAAAUCAGCUCAGGGUGCUUGUGUAAUGGUCUCCAAGUGGAAGGUUUGUUUUCUCCUGAUACAUGGAGUUCAAAAACUAAAUGACUGACUCAAGUACUUAUUUGGGCUCCUCUUGAAGUUAGCAAUGACCGUGGUUUAUACAGUUAGCCUGGAGUCUUCUGGUAGUAAGUUCAAUAAAUUAGGAAUAGAAAAAAAGUACAUAAAGCAAGGAUUCAGUUUAUAUGCCUUCAAAUGGACCUCAUAGAUGUCCCCUAAAGCUAAAUUCAGAGACCAAUUCUACACCAAAAACUGGUGUUAGUGAUUAGUACUUUCAGAAUGGUGGAGUAGAAGCUUGUUGAACCCUCUCCUUAGUAAAACAGCAACUUAACUGGUGAAAAUAAGAAAAAAAAAAAUAGUAGUUUAUGAAAAGUGUCCUAAGAGCAUACACAGGUUAAGAAAUAUUUGUUCAAGAAAACCUACUAAAACUCAGUAACAGCAGUGAGAAUCUAUGUUGUUGAAGCCUCUACCUGCUCCAUUAACCCCUCUCUCCUCUCCAGGAUUGAUAUUGGAGAAGGACUACUGCAAGUGCUCUAUGCUGGACCAGGGUGACCAAGAAGAUAAAUGACUACUUGAAAGCAUGCCCAAACCACCUACAUAAUUAUCAACAUGGAGCUUCACGGGCACAAAAGUCUUAAAUACAACUUUUGACCAAACACUGACUCU